rnacentral:rRNA from 1 species
UACGUAGGGUGCGAGCGUUGUCCGGAAUUAUUGGGCGUAAAGGGCUCGUAGGCGGUCUGUCACGUCGGGAGUGAAAACUCAGGGCUUAACCCUGAGCCUGCUUCCGAUACGGGCAGACUAGAGGUAUGCAGGGGAGACUGGAAUUCCUGGUGUAGCGGUGGAAUGCGCAGAUAUCAGGAGGAACACCGGUGGCGAAGGCGGGUCUCUGGGCAUUAACUGACGCUGAGGAGCGAAAGCAUGGGGAGCGAACAGG